UACAUGGGGUGCAAACGUUGCUCGGAAUUAUUGGGCGUAAAGCGCACGUAGGCGGUUCGUUAAGUCGGAUGUGAAAGCCCUCGGCUCAACUGAGGAAGUGCACCCGAGACUGGCGAGCUUGAGUACGAAAGAGGAUCGCGGAAUUCCCGGUGUAGAGGUGAAAUUCGUAGAUAUGGGGAGGAACACCGGUGGCGAAGGCGGCCAUCUGGACGGUAACUGACGCUGAGACGCGAAAGCGUGGGGAGCAAACAGG
rnacentral:rRNA from 1 species